GGCUCGGGCUGGAGGAGGCGGCCCUGGGGGUGGAGCCCGCCCCGCCCGGCGAGCUGGCGGAGCCAACUCCGCCUGGCACCCCGGAGGGGGGGGGGUAAGAGCAACGAGCGGGGAACGAGGCACCAGACCCCGGCUCCAAAGCCCCCCAGCCCUUCACAGCGGCGCAGCCCCGCUCCAGCCACGCCACGUACCGCCUGGGGAAACCAACCGCCGCGUACAGUCAGUGCAGAGCCUGAGCAGCGAGCGCCCCCGGCCCUGCGCCCCGCAGGUGUGCAUGUACCUCCGAGCACAGUCGUCAGAGAUUUUUGCUCUGCUGACGUCCAGAGAGUGCAAUCUAUGCUCCUCUUCAGACUUAUGAAGCUUUGGGAAGAAGACUGGCAAGAAUAUGUCCUGGCUCACAUGAAACAACCUGGUAGGAAAGCUGGGUGCAGCUGCAGGUGGACUUUGUCCUUGAAAAACACCAUAUAGGGUGGCUCCAAGGUAAGCGCCCUAAUCUCAGAAAACCUACAAGCAGACGUUAUUGCUACCAGGAAUGACACCUUCCAGGAGAGAAGAAGAGAACAGGAAGCCAAUGGCUCGAAUGGGGCACCCAUGAGCUGUGCCAGCACUAGAUUCAGGUCUGAAGGAGGGAUGGGGUCCUGGACAUGGGGAUAGAGUCACUCAGACCCUUCAAGAACCGGACUGUCAUGUCGUGAGUGAAGACCAAGCUGCCCUGGACUGGAGGGUGAAAGGCUGAUAUAGUGGCCAAGUGGACCUUAAUUGAUGAAAGGGAUAAGCCCUGGAGCUUAAGAUGUAGAAGGUAGUCCAGAAUUGAUUGCAGCGAGGACUGCUCAGGCCUAAUACCCUGGUCCAAGGCGAGAAGGUCCUGCUGAGGUGAUCUGCUAGUAUGUUCCUGCUCCCCUGGAGGCCACAAGAUGAAUGGCAUGCUGCACACAGAAGUCCCAGAGCUGGAGAGCUUUCUGGCAAAGGGCUGUCAAUCUGGCUCCGCACUGCUUGUUGAUAUAAAACAUUGCAGCAGUGUUGUCCAUCAGGACUUGUACUACCUUGCCCUUCAAGUGGGACCAGAAAGCGCGACAGGCCAAACCAACUGCUCUGAGCUCCCUGAUAUUUAUGUGGAGGGAGCGACUGUCCCAUGAUCAGCGACCUUGCAUGCUGAGCUCAACCUCAAGCCCAGGCCCAAGGCAUCGGAAACCAGGGUCAGCAACGAGGCCAGGGCUGUGAAGGGAACCCCCUCCAACACUGAUUUGGGGUCCAACUACCAUCCCAGUGACAACCAGAUGUGGUCCAGCAUCCUGACUACCAGGUCUAGAUCAUGCUUGUUGCAGGUGUAGACCUGACGUCAGCUACGCUUGCGGCGGCCGGAGAUGGAGCCGGACAUGACGGACCACGUAAGUACAAGCUGCCAUGUGACCUAACCACCUCAAGCAGGAGCGGGCGGUAGUGAGUGGGUGGCCCCUUAUAUGGGAGAUCUAGUCCGACAUGGCUUGGAAAUGGGCCUCCAGAAGGAAGGCUCUUGCCUGCAUGGAGUUGAGGACCGCCCCUAUGAACUCUAUCCAUUGCACCAGUUUCUUUUAGUUUACUAAUAGGCCCAGGUCGUGACAGGUAGAACACACCAGAUAAAGACUUCUCUGCACUUGAUCCUGUGAUCUGCCCUUGAUGAGCCAAUCAUCGAGAUAAGGAUAGACUUGGACUCCUCGACGUCUCCGACCCCUGUUAAGAUUGCCACAGCCUUGGUGAUGGGAGUGGCCAGAACUGCUUCCUCGCUGACUGAGACGUAUGGAGACCCAGCAAGCGGAAGGUGGCCCAAGUGUCCUUUAGCCCAUACAGCCUCGCAUCUUUCCAACCCCAUCAAACAGGAGGUCCUACAUUGAGGACUGCAUCUCCUGGGACAAGCCCCCAGUCUCAGGCCAAGAACUGCACCUCAUGAUCACUGCUGAAGCGACCAGCCUGGCCGUCGAAUCAGCUACGUCCCACACCAUUUGGAGGGAGCACUGUGCCUCUGUAAUACCCUCCUAAAUAAGGGACCCAAAUUCUUGGGCUGAGUCCUGGGGUAGGGAGUCCCAUAAGUUAAAGUUUUAUCUCCCCCAAAAGAACCUAGUGGUUUGCGACCCUGAACUGAAGGCUGGCCGUGGAAUAAAUUUUCCUUCAAAAAAUCCUCUUGGCCUUAUUGCUGCUGGCGGUAACUCUGCCUUCAGAGCUGGGCUCCCAGCCAGCAGCCACGACCUCAAGGCUGCCCAGCUCUGAAGGCAGGGCCGCUGCCA